AGCGAACGCUGGCGGCAGGCCUAACACAUGCAAGUCGAACGAAGUCUUCGGACUUAGUGGCGGACGGGUGAGUAACACGUGGGAACGUGCCUUUAGGUUCGGAAUAACUCAGGGAAACUUGUGCUAAUACCGAAUGUGCCCUUCGGGGGAAAGACUUAUCGCCUUUAGAGCGGCCCGCGUCUGAUUAGCUAGUUGGUGAGGUAAUGGCUCACCAAGGCUACGAUCAGUAGCUGGUCUGAGAGGAUGACCAGCCACAUUGGGACUGAGACACGGCCCAGACUCCUACGGGAGGCAGCAGUGGGGAAUCUUGCGCAAUGGGCGAAAGCCUGACGCAGCCAUGCCGCGUGAAUGAUGAAGGUCUUAGGAUUGUAAAAUUCUUUCACCGGGGACGAUAAUGACGGUACCCGGAGAAGAAGCCCCGGCUAACUUCGUGCCAGCCGCCGCGGUAACAC
rnacentral:rRNA from 1 species